rnacentral:misc_RNA from 1 species
AACAGAUAUACUUUAUCUCAAUAUAGUGUUGAGGACCAAAUAUGAGCCUAGCAUGUCUUGUAUGCCAUAGUGUCGAAAGUCCAUCGCACUCUUUUAGAAGCUACUCGGUCUCAAGUUCUGACAAUGAAGGAAGGUGUUCUGCUAUUGCAAACUGCUUAGCCAGGAAGUUUCCUCUUCCCCCUCCAAGAGCAACUAUUGCAUCAACAUCCAAAGUGACCCCACAACCAACCAAUACGAGUCAUGAAAUGACGGGACCCCCAAGACUGGUCCGGAGCCGUGCUGUGAGACGGGAUCUUGUGAGAGAUUGGAAUUUUGAUGGGGCAGCGAUGGAGAGUUAGAUGCUUUAAAAAAAGUGCAGGGUUAUCCACUAGUGUGAUAGUAUUAGAGCUUUAUUUAGCUGUUCUCUAGAUUGUUUCUAUUAUGGGUGCAAUUGAACUCACUUUUCCACUUGAAGAGCUGGAGCAUUUGUGACCAUUGUAGGAAAGUUUAACGUGAAACAAUGUUCAUAUAUUUUUUUUCUCUUUCCAAAUACCAUUUCUAAUCAUCUUUCCUUGGCAAAGUUGAAUUUUAGUCCAAUGUAGCCCCAUUUUGGGUAGAUUCUGUUCAUGUUGUAACAAUAGUAGACUUAGGAUGUGUUUAGUAGAAUGUUAAAAAAUCAAGAGUUGAAUGUUACUCUUGUAAGUUUUAAAGGAAUAAUUGUUAAAGGAGAAAAAAUAAUUAUGUUAUAACAGUUAAUGAUGUUUGGUUAAAAAAUAAAAAUAAAAAUGUCUUAUUAGCACCUCUUAAGCUUGUUAGCCUAGUCCCCCCAAAGUUAAUAUUUAACCUCUGAGGAGAGGAUAAUAGUAACUAGGUUCAAAAUUAACCUAGCCUCUUAUUAGCAUCCAAACAAGAGUAACAAGAGGUUAAAAGUUAUAUGGAUAGUAAUUAUCCCUUAUUAACUUUUUACCAAAUGCCCCAUUAAUAGUAAGCCUGAAAACAUAAAAAAUCUAAUAAACUCACAGCUGUGAGCUCAUGAAAGAGAAGUAUUUUAAAAAAAUUUUAUGUUUAUAUACAUGAUGAAUAUACCAAGAGCAAAACAAGGUGUGUUCAAGCAAUAAAAUAAGGAAAAAUCAGUAAAGUCAUAUAAGCCUUCUGUCUUUUUCAAUUUCAACGAAUGAAUCACGUGAUCAACAUCACUCAAAGGUACAAGCUAUACCCUUUUCAAUGCUUUUAAAAAGAUAUUGGAAAUAUCAUCUUCUUUUUUCUUUAUGACAGUGAUUAGAUGCUUAACAAUCUCUGCUACACUUGUUCCAUGCAUCACAAAAUGAGAAAUGAUCUCUGGAGCAAGAGAUUCCUGCAUUAAAAGUAGAACAGACAGUAAGCAAACGUGCACAAAAAUGGAAUCUAGUCCAAGGGUAGGAAACUCUAAAUCACCAUAAUUACACUUCACAAGAUUCCACCCUUUGACGUCACGGGAAAGGAAGAAAAAGAGUGAGGAGUGUGAGCAAGAAGAAAAGAAAAAUCCAUCAAAGAACAUGGAUACUACAACCAUUGAUUAAGAAGAAUACUCAAUCUGUUGAUCGCAAGCUAAAUUAUCAUCAUACUCUCAACAUCCAUCAGGUGCAUGCUCACCUUGGUAACUGUAUCACUAGCAACCAACUUUGCUGCAGCUAUCAUAACUGCAUCUCUAUUUGUCUCCUCAAUGUACUCUUUGCUUGAGUCUUCAUGUUCUGUUUCAUCUGAAAUGUUGAGCUGCUGUUCGCAAAGUCUCCAGAAUUUGCUAAGAACAGAUGAAUCCGGACAAUAUCCUAAGUUUUCCAGCUUUGUUGAAGAAAAAUUUGUCUGUCUGAACAAACACCAUGUCUCUGCAAGUAUAAUACAAACUCUGCACACUAGAUGAUUGGCAUAUUUAUUAGCUCUCUCUUCUUCAGAAGGGGUCAGAAGAAAGUACUCAAGUUCCUCAAACAAGAUAUUGCGUUUUGAAAGUAGAGAGACUAAGCGUCCUUUGGAGACAGUUUCACUGUUCACAAUAGACUGCAGAGACCAUGCUACAUGCAAAUACAUAUUCAGAAGCAGAAAACUGGCAACCUCAUCAUCCACAUUUCUGAAAUUGUGGAGAUUCCUAACAAAAUCAUCAUAUAAACUCUCAAUUGGUACGGCCCUUGAUAACUGAAGCUCAUAUAACCUUUUCAAAUUUACGAGAAGAGAAUAUUCAUCACCAUCCGCUGCUUCUUUCAUCGCAGAUCUAAGCUUAGCAAUCAGCUCAUCUUCAAGAUUCUUUAAUAUAUUAUCCGCAAAAUCUUUUAGCUCUCCUUGACUCUCAGUAGAACAAAACUUAAUAGCCUUCACACAAGAUCUCAGUGCCUCCUUCUCACCAUGUUUAAAAAACGCCUCUUUAAUAAGCUGAAGAACAUUUUUGAAAUUCUGUUCCUGUCUCUUUAGGGAAUAAAGCUCUAGGUUCAUGUAUACGAUAAUCUCAACCAGUGACGGUACUUUUGCUUGGUCAGCCAUGAAUUUACGUAAGAGGAGAGGAUAGUUCUUCAUCAUGGCAAUUGUAACAUCUCUUCUAUUAUUUUCAAAUAUUUCUUUCUGAGCUUUAUUAUAAUAUUGCUUUCGAUUAUCAGAAGCAGGAACUAUCCUCUCUCCUACAGCCUUCCGGACUGAUGCAAAAAGAAGUCUAACCAAAUUUGCUGCAUCAUCAUCAUUAAGCUCAACCAAUGGAUUCUCAUCCAACAGCAUGGAAAUAAUGCACUUCCAAUCCUGCAAGCAGAGAAAAGAUUUGCCAUCUUGGAAAGCAAGUUGAAUGUACAUACAAUAUUUCCUAGUCAUUUUCAAUAUCUCAGUGCUCUUAUUUGAUAGUGUACAAAAUUUACAGCACAAAACUUAUCAACCAUAAAAAUUCCUUUGUCCAGAAAAGUUAUCAGGUGCAGAGUACAUUACAGUGCAAGGUGGACACAAUGAACCAAUUGAAGGUUGGCCAAGGACUAACCCUUCCACUGAUUAGGUUAUGUCAUUUCUACCUUACCAACUUCCUUUUCCACAAACCCAAAGUUUCAUUAUAUAUUUUAGAAAGCAAUAACAAUGUACCUUCAUUGCUUUCAUGUACUCCCAAACAUCAUCAAUAACAUAGAUACAGAGGAUAGGAUCUGUUGAAAACUCCCUUAAAAUUUGCAACAUUCUGCCGAGAUGGACCUCAGAAGAACCACUGUCAUUACCUCUAGAGCCAGAUUGAGAGCUAUUAAACUUUUGAGCAAUCAAGUGAUCAUACACCAAUUCUCCUAUGGCAAGCCUGAUGUCUGCAGGAUCAUCAAUAAGUAAAUCAUAUAAAGGACCCAAGUCAUCAUCAGGCAGAAGCUGAUGCCUUAGUAAUUGUUUUACAAGUCCAAUGGCGCAUACAGCAACAGAGACAUCAAUGUCAUCAGCAAGCUCAAUCAUCCGGUUGGAAAAUCGUUCAGUGAAUAGAGUAAGAGUGGGCACAUUAUCAUCCACAUCAUAAAGAUUUUGCAAAGCAAGGAUAGAUGCUUUUCUUACACCAGCACUUUUAUCAUUCAAUGUCCAUCCAAGGUACUUUAAGUAUAAAUCCUGUAGGAAAAGUGAUGGAUAUGACAAAAUCCACACGCCAAGUGACUCUAUGCAUGACAUUCGAAUGUUAGGAUCAAUAUCUCGGUACCGAUGCACAAAUAACCUUCACAAAGUAACAAAUAAGAUAUCAAAAGGCUAUUCAAUAGAAACAGAAAAUUUAUCACAUCAGAUACUUUUUCUUUUGGUAAUAAUAAUGACAAGAAAAAACAACUCCUACCCAGUAAAUAUUUUGCGCAUCAUGUCCUCUAGCACAACUAUCUUUUCAUGAGUUGCCAAUAACCUUUUAUUUAGCGACUCCAGACGAGGUCCCUCAGUUCGUUUCUUCUUUUCAGCAUUAAGCUGCCUCUGAGUAGUUUCUCGCUGUGCUCCAAGUGUUUUUGCAACUGUUAUGAAUGAUGUUACAAGUUGAAGGCCCAUCAAGGAAGCAAUCUGACGAUAAACUCUUGGAGGAGUGCAUGACAAUGCUAUUAUGUAAUCCAUGCAUUUAUCAAACAAAACCUUAUCAAAUAGGGGUCCAUUCUGGCACUCAACUACCAUAUUGUCCCAAAAUGAGACAAGGUUCUCUUUGAAGUUCUUGAAAUCCUUCCUCUUUGAGCUUUGAUAAUCUUCAACUUCCCCUUUUCUGGCAAGAUUGACAAGAGCAACGACAACAUCAUCAACAUCAGUCUCAUCAAGCAACUCUUCCUUGAUAUAAAAUUUAGCUCCACAUGCCUCAAACAGCAUGGUCAAGAGUUCAACAAUUGCAAGUUUUGGAUCCUUUUCAUAGUGCUCAACCCAAAGCUUCACCAUUUGGGGAAUCUGCUUCCCACUACCUUUGAUACCCUCAAUCAAGCUUUGGUCGGACUUUUGCGCUUCUGAAUCUCGGCUCCGUUUAGCUUUAGGACGAACCUCACCGAAAUCGUCGGGAGAUACCUCUCGCUCCGCCUGAUUGGGGCCUUCAUCACUUGUUUCUUGGUUGUGAAUGCGAGGCCUACCUCUCUUAGGCCGGGCACGGGAUGAUUCGGGAUCUGGGGGUGUGUCGUCCAUGAGCUAGGGUUUGGGUAAAAGGGGAAAAGAAAUUGAACUGAGAAUGGAGAUUUUCAGAGGGAGAAGGAAUGAGUAAAGUGUGACUGGGAGAGCUAAAGAUUUGCCCAAGUCAUUCAGAAACAGAAAUGGGAAAUCUCCCGCCAAAUGAACUUCUCGGCUUCUCGCCUUUGUAUGAGGAUUUUGA